UACCAUGGGUUGCUGCUUAACUUUACCAUUAUAUAUGUAUAGUAAACGUCAUCAUUAAUUGCUUCACAUCACCAGAAAUCAAUCAAAAUUACCAUUUGUCUCUUUUCAGGGUACGUGGUUAGGUGAACAAUUUGAGUUAACAAAACAACCAUUCGUUAUGUACCAUAUGCAGGACGAAAAUAGUAGUUUUAACUCAAACAAUGUUUACUAAAACUUCCUGCUGCUUCAAUAUGACGAAUUAUCAUUGUCGUUGUAAACAUUUAGAUGCUAUUUGCGUUUUCAGUAGCCAUUUUGUUAAACUUCAUUAAAAACACUUGUUAAGAUAAUGGUGGAUUUGUGCAUUUUUUCGAAAAUAUAUAGGGAAAAAUAUUGCUGAUGUGGAUGCACCCGACAAACAGCCAUACAGAUACGGACCGAGAUGUCUCCGAUUCCAAUGUUGCAGUCGGGAAAUGAAAAAGACACUAUUUUUUCAAUUAUUAUUACCAAGAAUACUAGGUAGAGGCUAAAUAUUUAAUAAAGGCGGCCUUGGUGGACGCAGUAGAUUUCGCCAACGCGCAAGGCCAACGAGACAUAUUAAGCUGGUGAACAUGGACAGUUUUUCCUCCUCAUCGAUCGCUCGCGGAAAUCCCUACCUAAAUGCUGACGAACAAAGUUUCCUGGCCAUAAUCAGCACCGUAGGUUCAGUGUACGAUGACGGAAUUGAUUCACAGGACUCCUUUUCUGUGCUUGUUUCAACGAUCUCCAACAGUCCCGACGAGGAAGGCAUCCCAACUCAGUAGACCGCCAAAGAGCCAAAGUUCACACUCGAGCGGGCUAUCUACGAUAUCCGACUAUGCAGAACCUACGGCCUGUCGGUGAGAAAUCCGCAAUUGCAAGUUAAACUUCCCUGUCGGCCGUCAAUCCGGAUUAGCAAAAUAAAUUCUAAUUAAACAUAUAAAGUGAUAAAAUACGAAAAUAUCGUAUAUUAAUAAAUGUUUUUCGCAAAA